GCCGAAAUAGCUCAGUUGGGAGAGCGUCAGACUGAAGAUCUGAAGGUCCAUGGUUCAAUCCCGUGUUUCGGCA
rnacentral:tRNA from 1 species